CCCAACACUAAAAUAAUUUUAAAACCUUUAUUAAAUGAUAUCAAAUUUAGCAUAAAUCCCAAAUGUACAUAAUUGAAAACAAAACUUACAAGAAACAAGUAACCCAUGCUCAUUGGAAAUAUGUGUUUGUGGUGACGUUUCUGUAACACCGUUUUUAGGUACCUUACUGCACGUUUUGCAGCAGUCUUAAAGUGAAAAUGCGCAUAAUUUUUUUAAUUAUGUUGGUACAGGCACAUAUUGCUGCAUUACUUCAGGUGCGUAUUGGGGCAAUUCAUAAUUUAAAUGUGGACUGUCGCUAGGUUAAUGCUGUAUUGUGUUGGAAAAUACCUCGUGUUAACGAAACAAAACUAGUGAUGCACCGAUCAUGAUUUUUCAUAGCCGAUUCUGAUACCAAUUUUUUUACAUGCUAACUGGCUGAUUCCGAUAUUUUUUCUUUAAGCAACAAACUAGAAAGAAUGAAAGUAUACACGAACAACACUGUAAAAAAAAAUGCUGUAGUUUCUACAGCAAACUUUUACAGAAUUUUACUGUUUAAACAUUUUACAAGAUGUAGCUGUAAUUCACAAUGCAUUAUGGGUCAAAUAAGGUUUUGUUUCCAUGUCAACUGUAAUUAAUUUACAAGAAGCAGGUGUUAUCACUGUAGCUCCUGCUUUUUACACUACUUUACUGUAGUGUGUCAUUAUGGGAUUGCGCGCGCAUCAUUCAACGCGCCAAAACGAUUGAAGAUUAGAGGCAUUAUUCAUAAUUCCUGGUGCAAAGAAUAGCAGCUGAUGUGGAGAAAUGUUUGAUGCUUCAAGACUCUCUGAAGCUGAUUAUAUUAGGUGCACCCAGUGGCUUUUGACUAGGCCUAUUCGAGGGUCACAUGGUUGUGAAUUCACACCUCAACUUUGUGUCUGGAUUUUCAGUCUUAUUACAACUUCAGUCUGGCAUCCCGGGAGCAGGUGUCUUUUGCACACCUGAAUUAAUUUCAAAGGUAACAUGUUUUACUUGAGUAAUUUCAUUUGUGAAAAAGCUUACUUAUUUAGUUUAAGUACUGGUAAAUGGUGAUUGUAUUGUAUAAGUGGCAUUUUUACAUUUAUUUCAUUGAGCUAGUUUCAUUCAAUACUGAACUUUAUUCUAAAGCUUCUGCUUGUUUUUAUGUGCAGAUGUUUUGUUGGAAUCACAACACUUACUGGAUACAAGACGGAUACAUGGAGGCAAAACAAGUGGAAAGGUCUCAGAGAAGAGGGACAACCCUCAUGUGUGUGCUUAUCUCAGAAAGUUGAUGGACUUUCAGUAUGUAUUUAUUAAAUUGCUUUUUGCAGGAAUAUUCUAAAUUUAAUAUAACAUAAGCUCAAACAACAGAAUUUGUAGUAUAAUGUUGAUUCCAGCAUUUUAUUUUAAUCCUUUAACCAAAAUUAUACAAAUUCUGUUGAUUGACCUUAAUUUUUUUGUUUUACUCAGAAUAUGGCUUAUUUUUUGUGAUAUAACAGUUAUUUGUAGUUAUUUUGUGAUGCUAUGUUAUUUUUAUGAUAAGAUUUUAACUGUUGAAAGACUGGCAUUUUUAUUUUUAUCAGUAAAAGCCUUGCAAUGUCUUUCUGCCAGUUUUACUAAAUAUUUAUUUGCAACAUCUUUGACUUGGUUUUUAUUCAUUUGUAAAUGUAUUAAGAUAGUUCUCAUGAUAAUUCAUUUAAAUCAGUAUUUUACAGUUUACUGUUAAAAUGAUUAUUUGCAGCAUUUUCAUUGUUAAAUUAUUACAACAUCAUCUUGGAUUUAGGGGUAUUUACAGGAUUUUAUUGGCAACUUUUUUUGCCAGGUAAAUACUGUACUUUCGUGAGAUUACAAAAUAUUGCUGUAAUAUAAACUACAAGUUUAAUUCAAUGUUACUGUAAAAAAAUACUACAAAUUACUGUAU